rnacentral:rRNA from 1 species
GUGGCGGACGGGUGAGUAAUGCAUCGGGACCUACCUGAACGUGGGGGAUAACGUAGGGAAACUUACGCUAAUACCGCAUACGUCCUACGGGAGAAAGCGGGGGACCUUCGGGCCUCGCGCGGUCAGACGGACCGAUGUUCGAUUAGCUAGUUGGUAAGGUAAUGGCUUACCAAGGCGACGAUCGAUAGCUGGUCUGAGAGGAUGAUCAGCCACACUGGAACUGAGACACGGUCCAGACUCCUACGGGAGGCAGCAGUGGGGAAUAUUGGACAAUGGGCGCAAGCCUGAUCCAGCAAUGCCGCGUGUGUGAAGAAGGCCUUCGGGUUGUAAAGCACUUUUAUCAGGAACGAAAUACCAUUGGUUAAUACCCGGUGGGGCUGACGGUACCUGAGGAAUAAGCACCGGCUAACUUCGUGCCAGCAGCCGCGGUAAUACGAAGGGUGCAAGCGUUAAUCGGAAUUACUGGGCGUAAAGGGUGCGUAGGCGGUUUGUUAAGUCUGUUGUGAAAUCCCCGGGCUCAACCUGGGAAUGGCAAUGGAUACUGGCAAGCUAGAGUGUGUCAGAGGAUGGUGGAAUUCCCGGUGUAGCGGUGAAAUGCGUAGAGAUCGGGAGGAACAUCAGUGGCGAAGGCGGCCAUCUGGGACAACACUGACGCUGAAGCACGAAA